CACAAGGUCUGUGCACUUUCCAGAAUCCUCUCCUCUCAUUUUCCCUCCGUUCAUUAGAGGGAGCAAAAAUGAUCCUGUGGCUAAACUUGGUGUCUUUACUCACAGUGUUCAGAGGGGUCCAAUCUGAGAUCCAGUUGGUGGAGUCUGGUGGGGACGUGAAAAGGCCUGGAGAAUCCCUCCGCCUCUCCUGCCAAGCCUCUGGAGAUGACUUCAGUAGCUACUACUCGAUGUACUGGGUGAGACAGUAUCCAGGGAAAGGACUGGAAUGGGUUGCUGCGAUUGAUUAUGAUGGAGAAAAGUUCUACUCAGACAAAGUGAAAGGACGGUUCACCAUCUCCAGAGACGAUGACAACAAUCUUAUGAAUCUACAAAUGAACAGCCUGAAACCAGAGGACACCGGAGUCUAUUACUGCACAGCUGACACAGUGAUAGGAAAUAUGUAA